rnacentral:rRNA from 1 species
UACGGAGGGUGCGAGCGUUGUCCGGAAUCACUGGGCGUAAAGGGCGCGUAGGCGGCCUGGUAAGUAGGGGGUGAAAUCCUGCGGCUUAACCGCAGGGCUGCCUUCUAAACUGUCAGGCUCGAGCACGGUAGAGGCAGAUGGAAUUCCCGGUGUAGCGGUGGAAUGCGUAGAGAUCGGGAAGAACAUCAGUGGCGAAGGCGGUCUGCUGGGCCGUUGCUGACGCUGAGGCGCGACAGCGUGGGGAGUAAACAGG